rnacentral:rRNA from 1 species
CCCGCACAAGCAGCGGAGCGUGUGGUUUAAUUCGAUGCAACGCGAAGAACCUUACCAGGGCUUGACAUGUUGGAAGUAGUGAACCGAAAGGGGAACGACCUGUCAAGUCAGGAGCCUUCACAGGUGCUGCAUGGUUGUCGUCAGCUCGUGCCGUGAGGUGUCGGGUUAAGUCCCAUAACGAGCGCAACCCUUGUCGUCAGUUAAUUUCUCUGACGAGACUGCCCGCAAAACGGGGAGGAAGGCGAGGAUGACGUCAAAUCAGCAUGGCCUUUAUGCCCUGGGCUACACACACGCUACAAUGGGUGGUACAACAGGUAGCAAUGGAGCGAUCCGGAGCUAAUCCUAAAAACCAUCCUCAGUUCGGAUUGCAGGCUGAAACCCGCCUGCAUGAAGUCGGAGUUGCUAGUAAACGGAUAUCAGCAUGGUCCGUUGAAUACGUUCUCGGGCCUU